rnacentral:rRNA from 1 species
CAACACNACUCUCGACAACGGAUAUNUCGGCUCUCGCAUCGAUNAANAACGUANCAAAAUGCGAUACCUGGUGUGAAUUGCANAAUCCCGUGAACCAUCGAGUUUUUGAACGCAAGUUGCGCCCNAGGCCUUCUGGUCNAGGGCACGCCUGCCUGGGCGUCACGU